GAACGCGAAGAACCUUACCUAGGUUUGACAUCUGGGGAACCCUCCCGAAAAGGAGGGGUGCCCUUCGGGGAGCCCCAAGACAGGUGCUGCAUGGCUGUCGUCAGCUCGUGUCGUGAGAUGUUGGGUUAAGUCCCGCAACGAGCGCAACCCUAUGCAUAGUUGCCAGCAAGUAAAGUUGGGCACUCUAUGCAGACUGCCCGGGUUAACCGGGAGGAAGGUGGGGACGACGUCAAGUCAUCAUGGCCCUUACACUAGGGCUACACACGUACUACAAUGGCACGCACAAAGGGCAGCGAUACCCGUGAGGUGGAGCCAAUCCCAAAAAACGUGUCCCAGUCCGGAUUGCAGUCUGCAACUCGACUGCAUGAAGUCGGAAUCGCUAGUAAUUCGAGGUCAGCAUACUCGGGUGAAUGCGUUCCCGGGUCUUGUACACACC
rnacentral:rRNA from 1 species